rnacentral:lncRNA from 1 species
GCAACCUCCGAUCAAGUAUGGGAGACCGAGAGCAGGAGAAGAACAUGGAGUACCCUGACACGGUUCCGAAGGUACGUGGUGAGCUAUGGCUGCAUCAGACCGAACGGACGGUCCUUGUGAUCGCACCGCGGCUUUGGUCAGUUCAUUAGACCUAAUCGCUCCUCCUCUUCUUGUUUCUAUCCGGUCCUUUCUCUUCUUUCUGAUUAUACACGAAGGGUUGUGCUGGUCGGUUAGACGGUCGGUUCGAAUCGCACCAUAGAC